UCAAGGUCAGACGGAGUCAAGAGAAGAGAUGGGGCAUCCUUUAUAAGUGCAUGACCACCAGAUGUGUGCAUUUGGAUCUCCUCGAAAGCCUGGACACAGAUUCCUUCCUGCUCUCCCUGCGCCGCCUAAUAGCACGCAGGGGUAAACCAUUCGAGCUUCUCUGUGAUAAUGGAACCAACUUUACAGGAGGAAAUCGAGAAUUAGUAGAGGCCUUUGAAGCUAUGGCUCCUUGCCUGCAGGAGCAAUUAGCAGAGCAGAGGAUCAGAUUCCAGUUUAACCCACCUUCCGCUCCACAUUUUGGAGGCACCUGGGAAAGGGAAGUCAAGUCGGUGAAAACAGCUCUGAGAGUAGUCCUACGAGAGCAGUCAGUCGCUGAGCCAGUUCUGCGGACUCUACUGAUCGAGGUGGAAGGAAUUCUUAAUUCCAAGCCAUUGGGCUAUGUGUCAACAGAUGUCUCGGAUCCUGAUCCUAUAACACCCAACAUGCUACUUAUGGGACGCAGGGAUUCAUCUCUUCCCCAGGCUUUAUAUGGCGGAGAGGAUUUGCUUGGGAAGCGACGAUGGAGACACAGCCAGGUGUUGGCAGACAACUUCUGGGCUUCCUUCAUCAGACACUACCUCCCGGGACUGCAGCAACGUCAGAAGUGGAAGAGCGAUAGCAAGGAACCUACUACGGGUCAGGUUGUUCUUGUUGUUGAUCCACGGCUCCCGCGGGCUCUUUGGCCUGUGGGUUCGGUGGUUGAGACCUUCAAGGGUGCAGAUGGACGUGUACGUAUUGCCACAGUGAAGGUAAAGGACAAAAUCUACACGAGGCCUGUCGUUAGACUGGUCCAGCUUCCCCAGUUUACUAAUGACUCUUAGUUCAUAUAGCAGUCUUUCUAUGUUCGAUACAAUUCUCAGGUUAGAGAAUUGGGGGCGGCUGUGUUAGAAAGACUGAGGGAGAACCUAAUUUAGUUUCUUGUUUCCGCCCGGACCGCUAUUAGUGUGACGCGCGCCGAAUCUUUAUUUCUUCAUGGUGGAUAUUUGUGUGCGUAAUAAAUAAAACCAUACUCAUAUGCUCCAUGAGCUCAGCAUGUAACAUGUGUUUCACAUGUACUUAUGCAUCUCAGCCUGUUAUGGACCAUGUUCUGUCUUUGGAGCCAUAUUAAAGCUGCCGAACAUUA